rnacentral:rRNA from 1 species
GAUGAACGCUAGCUACAGGCUUAACACAUGCAAGUCGAGGGGCAGCGCAGUGUAGCAAUACAUGGGCGGCGACCGGCGCACGGGUGCGUAACGCGUAUCCAACCUUCCCGUUACUCAGGGAUAGCCUUCCGAAAGGGAGAUUAAUACCUGAUGGUGUUUGAAUUUCGCAUGUUAUUCAAUCUAAAGAUUUAUCGGUAACGGAUGGGGAUGCGUGACAUUAGGUGGAUGGCGGGGUAACGGCCCACCAUGCCUACGAUGUCUAGGGGUUCUGAGAGGAAGGUCCCCCCACACUGGAACUGAGACACGGUCCAGACUCCUACGGGAGGCAGCAGUGAGGAAUAUUGGUCAAUGGUCGGAAGACUGAACCAGCCAAGUAGCGUGAAGGAUGAAGGUUCUAUGGAUUGUAAACUUCUUUUAUACGGGAAUAAAACCUCCUACGUGUAGGAGUGUGUAUGUACCGUAUGAAUAAGCAUCGGCUAACUCCGUGCCAGCCGCCGCAGUAAAAC